CACCAGAGCAUGGGGUGGAGAUGAGCACAGGAGGCUACCUAGGCUGAACUUCUGGGAUUGGAAACGGCCCAGUUAUCCAUUUUACAGAAUGGAAACUGAGGCCCUGAAAGGGCGAGAUACUCAUAGUCAAAAUAAGAAUAUGUGCCUUGUGGGCGUGUGAGUGGUCAGUGGGUCACAGCAUUCCAAAGGUCUUGGGUUCCGUUCCCAGCACCACUACUCCAGUUUCCAGGCAUCUGAUGCUGCCCUCUUCUGGCCUCAAAAGGCCCCAGUUCCAUGCCGGCUAGUGGGCAGGACCAUGACUUACUGUGUUGGCAAGAAGUGUAACCAACUUACUGACUGACUCGCUUGGUAAGAGCACCAGGAGACUCAAGCUUGGUACCUGUGAUGCUUAAGUUGCUUUGAGACACAUGACAGGAGUGGGAGGCUGAGCGUGGAUCCGUCAUUUGCUUAGUGCCACACAUUAGGGCCUCAGCCAAGCCAGGAUUUGAACCUAGGCCCUGGCUCCAAACCUUCCUUUCUAACCUCUUCCUUCAUACCUG
rnacentral:lncRNA from 1 species